rnacentral:lncRNA from 1 species
CCAUUAUGCACCACCACGCGCAUAUCACGACCCACCUGCGAAUCCAGAAAUCGUAUCGAAUAGCACGGGGGAGACUUCCACGGGGGAGGUUUUCACUCGCGGGAACGAUUCAAGCGGUUAGAUUAGAUUUCACGUUUUUAAACAUUAAAACGAAAGAGCGAUUAAUUCAGUAUACCUGAAAUUCUCUAUUUCUCGCUGGGAAGAAAAUGAGAAGGUUACGGUGUUGCUUCCAACGAGGUAAUAAUUAAACAACUUGUGAUGUGCUUUAAUUGAAGAGGGCCUCGAGGGCCAAAAAGCGACGGUCGUCUAAAGCUUUUUAACUAAUAAUAAACACUUUUUGCCAGUUGCAUCAACUAAGAAGCAUAAUAUUUUCGAUUCCCCAAAAUGAGAUGAACAUCGCUGGAGGAACCAGGAGCUAAAAGACCGGAUCUUCUACGUAUACGCAAAACUUGGAAGGGGUGCAAAGAACCCAAAGAGACGUAGAUUCCCGUCGACGGACACCGGAACUGUCGAUGACUCUCGCUCCUCGGGAGCUUCUCCGAAUCGAUUGUACGGCCCUGCGAGUUUGCACGGCUCGGAUAAAUAAAAGAGGAUAGAACGCGAGAGGAGUCGAGAGGAAGAAGAGGAGCUAGGAGGAGGCGAGGCAGAACGAGCGAGAGCGAGAGCGAGAUGAAGCGCAACGCGGAGCGAGGCGGCCGGAAAAUCUUGAUUUAAAAAUCGGCGCUUUUCGCGCAAACUUGACGCAUGUGGCUGGGAAUAACGCAAAAGGGAAAGGUGGCGAGGAAGGCGAGACAGGACAAUGCAAUGGGCUAAGCCUCGGCCGGGCCCCAUGGGUCCACGGUGGUGCGCACGGCUUCGUCGUUUCGUAUCCGUAGGGCGCGAUGUUUAUCGGCUCUUUCGAUGUAAAUUAUGGCCAUGCGCUAUAGAGUUCGCUACAACACGGCGCGCAAAAGUAUUCGGGCUUCGAGUUCAGGGUCGGAGCCUCGCCGAUAGGUCUCAAUGCCGUGCAUGUCGAUUUCUCAUUUCGAAAACGCCUUUCAACGUGAAAUCCAGAGUCUCGAAAGUGCAACGAGAUGCAAAACUGAUAAACUACACGAAUCCGGAAACAAUAAAAACAAACAUUCGAAAUUUGUAUGAGUUGAAUUUACAAUUAAUCGUUUUAAAUAAAUUUGAAAAUCUAUGGUAAAAGAGAGAGAGAGAGAGGGAGGGAGAGAGACGAUUGAUUCUGCGAAAUUCGUUUGCAUAAUUGCCACUGUAAAUUGUAUCCAUAUAUUGUGAAUCAUUUUGUUUUUUGGUCCGAAGCGUCAUUUUAUCCGUCUCUCCUUUUCUUUCUCUCUCUCUCUCUCUCUCUCGUUCGUUUUGCUUUUCUCACACUUUCUUUCUUCUUCGCAAGCAACUUGCUUUCUCUGAGAUGGAAUGCCAUUGACUCCAUGCAUAUCUGGCAACAAGGUUCUUCUCGACCCAUCUCAUAUACCGGGUGAUCCUUGUUUAUCCGUGAACUAAAUGACUUGCGAAUGCGAGAAAAGGCAAUAAGCAACUUUCAAAGAAAGUUAUGCAGGAUGCAAAAAUCCAUGCAGAAAAAAAUCUCGAGACUAUAGGUGACAGCACUUAGACAUUGAAAAGGUUAAGGAUUUUAAAAUAAAAUAUGCAGAUAUCAAAAAUUCAAAAAUUAGACUCGAAAGAUAAUACAAAGCUCUUUCUCCUUCGAAUACUGGACUUCUAAAAUCGCAAUAACUUUCUCGUUUACAUCGCAUUAAAAAAAAAAA